rnacentral:rRNA from 1 species
UACGGGGGGAGCAAGCGUUGUUCGGAUUUACUGGGCGUAAAGGGCGCGUAGGCGGCCACCGCAAGUCGAUUGUGAAAUCUCCGGGCUUAACUCCGGAAAGGUCAACCGAUACUGCGGGGCUAGAGUGCAGAAGGGGCAACUGGAAUUCUCGGUGUAGCGGUGAAAUGCGUAGAUAUCGAGAGGAACACCUGCGGCGAAGGCGGGUUGCUGGGCUGACACUGACGCUGAUGUGCGAAAGCUAGGGGAGCGAACGGGG